rnacentral:rRNA from 1 species
UACGUAGGGUGCGAGCGUUGUCCGGAAUUAUUGGGCGUAAAGAGCUCGUAGGCGGUGUGUCACGUCGAUCGUGAAAACUUGGGGCUUAACUCUGAGCUUGCGGUCGAUACGGGCAGGCUAGAGUUCGGUAGGGGAGACUGGAAUUCCUGGUGUAGCGGUGAAAUGCGCAGAUAUCAGGAGGAACACCGGUGGCGAAGGCGGGUCUCUGGGCCGAUACUGACGCUGAGGAGCGAAAGCGUGGGGAGCGAACAGG